GGGGGAUAGCCCGGGGAAACCCGGGUUAAUACCGCAUAAAACAGGGGCACCGCAUGGUGAUAUUUGUUAUAGAUUUAUUGGUGAUAGAUGGGCAUGCGUUCGAUUAGCUAGUUGGCGGGGUAACGGCCCACCAAGGCGACGAUCGAUAGGGGAGCUGAGAGGUUGAUCCCCCACACGGGCACUGAGAUACGGGCCCGACUCCUACGGGAGGCAGCAGUAGGGAAUAUUGGGCAAUGGAUGCAAGUCUGACCCAGCCAUGCCGCGUGCCGGAUGAAGGCCCUCAGGGUUGUAAACGGCUUUUAUUCGGGAAGAAGAGCAGGGAUGCGUCCUUGUGUGACGGUACCGAAUGAAUAAGCACCGGCUAACUCCGUGCCAGCAGCCGCGGUAAUACGGAGGGUGCGAGCGUUGUCCGGAUUUAUUGGGUUUAAAGGGUGCGUAGGUGGCC
rnacentral:rRNA from 1 species